AUAAAGAGUGCGCCACGUUGAAUACACCAUUUCUCGUCCGAUCACUGAAGUUAAGCGACGUCGGGUGUGGUCAGUACUUAUAUGGGUGACCAUCUAGGAGAUCACGUGUUGUUGGUU
rnacentral:rRNA from 1 species